rnacentral:rRNA from 1 species
GAUGAACGCUGGCGGCGUGCUUAACACAUGCAAGUCGAACGAGGAAUUUUAAAUGAGACUUCGGUGGAUUUUGAGAUUCCGAGUGGCGGACGGGUGAGUAACGCGUGGGCAACCUGCCCUGUACAGGGGGACAACAGCUGGAAACGGCUGCUAAUACCGCAUAAGCGCACGGUAUCGCAUGAUACAGUGUGAAAAACUCCGGUGGUACAGGAUGGGCCCGCGUUGGAUUAGGUAGUUGGUGGGGUGACGGCCUACCAAGCCGACGAUCCAUAGCCGACCUGAGAGGGUGACCGGCCACAUUGGGACUGAGACACGGCCCAAACUCCUACGGGAGGCAGCAGUGGGGAAUAUUGCACAAUGGGGGAAACCCUGAUGCAGCGACGCCGCGUGAGCGAAGAAGUAUUUCGGUAUGUAAAGCUCUAUCAGCAGGGAAGAAAAUGACGGUAC